rnacentral:rRNA from 1 species
UCAAGAAUAUUCCUCAAUGGCCGAAAGGCUGAAGGAGCGACGCCGCGUGCAGGAUGAAGGUCUUCGGAUUGUAAACUGCUUUUACGAGGGACGAACUCGUGACGGUACUUCGUGAAUAAGAGGUUGCUAACUCUGUGCCAGCAGCAGCGGUAAUACAGAGACCUCAAGCGUUAUCCGGAUUUAUUGGGCGUAAAGCGUCCGCAGAUGGUUUGGCGGGUGAGGGGUUAAAAUCAAAGGCUCAACCUUUGAACUGCUCUUCAAACUACCAAACUCGAGGUUGGGAGAGGUAAGCGGAAUUCUCGGUGUAGUCGUAAUAAGCGCUGAUAUCGAGAAGAACACCAAAUGCGAAGGCAGCUUACUGGAACACACCUGACAUUCAUGGACGAAAGCGUGGGGAGCAAACAGG